GCCUGAGUGGCUCAGUCGGUUGAGCAUCUGACUCUUGGUUUCGGCUCAGGUCAUGAUCUCGCAGCUUUGUGGGUUUGAGCCCCGCAUUGGGCU
rnacentral:tRNA from 1 species